rnacentral:rRNA from 1 species
CCCAACCCAAUGUGACGUUACCAAACUGUUGCCUCGGCGGGAUCUCUGCCCCGGGUGCGUCGCAGCCCCGGACCAAGGCGCCCGCCGGAGGACCAACCUAAAACUCUUAUUGUAUACCCCCUCGCGGGUUUUUUUUAUAAUCUGAGCCUUCUCGGCGCCUCUCGUAGGCGUUUCGAAAAUGAAUCAAAACUUUCAACAACGGAUCUCUUGGUUCUGGCAUCGAUGAAGAACGCAGCGAAAUGCGAUAAGUAAUGUGAAUUGCAGAAUUCAGUGAAUCAUCGAAUCUUUGAACGCACAUUGCGCCCGCCAGUAUUCUGGCGGGCAUGCCUGUCCGAGCGUCAUUUCAACCCUCGAACCCCUCCGGGGGGUCGGCGUUGGGGAUCGGCCCUCCCUUAGCGGGUGGCCGUCUCCGAAAUACAGUGGCGGUCUCGCCGCAGCCUCUCCUGCGCAGUAGUUUGCACACUCGCAUCGGGAGCGCGGCGCGUCCACAGCCGUUAAACACCCAACUUCUGAAAUGUUGACCUCGGAUCAGGUAGGAAUACCCGCUGAACUUAAGCAUAUCA